rnacentral:rRNA from 1 species
GACGAACGCUGGCGGCGUGCUUAACACAUGCAAGUCGAGCGGUAAGGCCCUUUCGGGGGUACGACGAGCGGCGAACGGGUGGAGUAACACGUGGGUGACCUGCCUUUAGUCUCUGGGAGUAAAGCCUGGGAAACCGGGGUACUAAUACCGGAUAUGACUCCAUGACGCAUGUUGUGGGGUGGGAAAGCCUUGUGCGGCUGAGGAUGGGCCCGGCGGCCUAUCAGCUUGUUGGUGGGGUGAUGGCCACCAAGG